rnacentral:rRNA from 1 species
UACAGGGGGUGCAAGCGUUGUCCGGAAUGAUUGGGCGUAAAGCAUCUGUAGGUGGUUUUUAAAGUCGACUGUUAAAUCCCAGAGCUCAACUUUGGCAGGGCAGUCGAGCACUUAGAAACUUGAGUACGGUAGGGGUAGAGGGAAUUCUUAGUGGAGCGGUGAAAUGCACAGAGAUUAGGAAGAACACCAGUGGCGAAAGCGCUCUACUGGGCCGUGACUGACACUGAGAGAUGAAAGUUGGGGGAGCGAAAAGG